GACGGGUCCCGCGGUGGGGGCAGGCCCAUGCCGGCCGGGCAGUGCCCAUGCCACUCAGAGCGCUCAGGCCGCCGGCCGCUCUCCCCAGCGCCUUUCCCCGCGCCAUGCUGCAGCGAAGCCUCCGCAGGCCGGGCCCUGAUGGCGGCUGCUGGGCGGCGGUGGCCGGCCCCGCUUCUCCUCUUGCGCCCUGUCGUUGAGCAAGGGAAGGCUGCGGCGUGAGGACGUGGCUGUGGACCGACAGGGACCCCUAUGCUGAGAGAGGAAGAGAAAGCCCGGCAGAAGACAGAAGUUGAUGUGAAAAAAGCUUGGGGGUCUCGAGAAAGGGAAGAAGAGGCUGUGUGGUUUGGCAGCCCCAGGAGGCUUCUCCGAGACCCGAGGUGAGCAGCAGUGCGCUCUGGUUCCCCCUGCCGAGUAGCUCCAUGCCCCAUCGUGUUGCAGACGUGGCUGCUGUGCCUUGGUUUGUGUCAUCAGGUGGCAGAGAGCAACAGGCUGUGUCAUUCUUUGCUGAUGCUCUGGAAAGUGUGAGCACUUGGGAAUGAUGAGCAGCCUGACAGAUUAUUUCUUCCUUUUCCUGUUUCUUUUUCCUUUAAUGUUGAUCUUAUGUCAUGAAGGAUAAAAAGCUG